UACGUAGGUGGCAAGCGUUGUCCGGAUUUACUGGGCGUAAAGAGCGCGCAGGCGGCCAAGUCAGUCGAAUGUGAAAGCCCCCGGCUCAACUGGGGAGGGUCAUUCGAUACUGCUCGGCUCGAAGACAGGAGAGGGAAGUGGAAUUCCCGGCGUAGUGGUGAAAUGCGUAGAUAUCUGGAGGAACACCGGUGGCGAAGGCGGCAUCCUGGACCGGCAUUGACGCUGAGGCGCGAAAGCCAGGGGAGCAAACGGG
rnacentral:rRNA from 1 species